GUAUACGUGAAAACUAUUUUGCAGAAUAAGCCUUCAGUUACCGCUUCCGUUUCAUACUCAGCGACAGUCGCUAUGGUAGUUUAAAGCAAUGCAGCGGUUCAUUCAUUUGCAUUUCUAACUCACCGCGUUCAAGUGCAUUCCGCCUUGGCAGUUCAGCGAUAGUAAAUGUUGGUCGCGCAACUAAUGAACUUACUCCGGUCGGUCCCUCCACAGGUGAUACAUAUAUCAAGCGAAAUAGCUUUUUUUUGUGUGAGCCGGAAAGGCCGGAAAGUAGCGUAAAUGUUUGUUGCCGUGCAGGCUUAAGUACCAAAACGUGUCGUCUUUGUGAAUGGCCGUGUUAUUUAUGCAGGUGAAAAGUAUUUAAACAACGUAUUGUUUUUAUUGCCCGUUCGAAUAUGGGUCUUUCUCGCAAUUGUACGGAAGGGAUCAUCUUCGUGGCAGCAACUGCAGAACUGGCUGUUUCUAAAAUAUUUAAUUUGCAUUGUAACAUUUAAUUACUAUUGGAAACACAAACGUUUGUGUAUUUAAUACUUACGAAACGUACUAAACCGGAGAUGGCCAGUGAUUACUUGCCACUUGCCACUUGCCGAAGCCGAAGCACAAAAUGAAAACUUUGUUGCCAGUUUUCACAUAAGGCUUUUUCAAAUUUGCUUUUUAAGACCUAUAUAGUUUUUAAAUCACUAUGAUGUUUUGUAUUUACUAUAGAUACUUAAAAAAGCUUUAAAUAUAACCAAAAAACCAGUUUUUUUAUAUUUUGCACUUGGGUCCUAUUGAAAUGUUGCUCUUGAUACGCAGUUUGUGUUUUGUUUUGCUUUCGGCCCUAUUUUUGUUGUGAGAUUUCUACGCAUCGCAAGUGGCAAGUGGCAAGUAAUCACUGGCCAUCUCCGGUUUAGUACGUUUCAAACAGCCAGUUCUGCAGUUGCUGCCACGAAGAUGAUCCCUUCCGUACAAUUGCGAGAAAGACCCAUAUUCGAACGGGCAAUAAAAACAAUACGUUGUUUAAAUACUUUUCACCUGCAUAAAUAACACGGCCAUUCACAAAGACGACACGUUUUGGUACUUAAGCCUGCACGGCAACAAACAUUUACGCUACUUUCCGGCCUUUCCGGCUCACACAAAAAAAAGCUAUUUCGCUUGAUAUAUGUAUCACCUGUGGAGGGACCGACCGGAGUAAGUUCAUUAGUUGCGCGACCAACAUUUACUAUCGCUGAACUGCCAAGGCGGAAUGCACUUGAACGCGGUGAGUUAGAAAUGCAAAUGAAUGAACCGCUGCAUUGCUUUAAACUACCAUAGCGACUGUCGCUGAGUAUGAAACGGAAGCGGUAACUGAAGGCUUAUUCUGCAAAAUAGUUUUCACGUAUACAGAAAAAUAUCCACACACUAUCACCUUUGCUAGAAAUUAAAGAUCCAGAAAAUUUUCGAGAUGAUUAUAAAGAGGACACAUCAAACAUCGGUGGAUGUCGUUCAUGACGUGGAAUCUUAAUUUGAGCUAGAAGAUUGCUGCUAAUAGUCGUAAACUAACUGGAAAGGAAAUUGUUAUUGUAUGAUAAUACGCUGACCGGGUCGGAUUUGAAGUUCCUGAUAGACCCGGUGAACUGAUUAAAAAUGUACAGAUAGAUGAUUCGCUUUUGCAGCAUAUUGAGGCUCUGGAAAAUCCGAUCGAAUGACGGCGAUGAAAAAUAUGUGUCGAAAGCUUUUGAUUGGCGUUGAUGAAAGAACAAUGAUUUAGAAAAUUGUCAAUUUCUCAAUAAGAAUGCCAAAAUAAACAUUUUUUCUUGAAGAA